GAUGAACGCUAGCUACAGGCUUAACACAUGCAAGUCGAGGGGAAACGGCAUCGAAAGCUUGCUUUUGAUGGGCGUCGAACGGCGCACGGGUGAGUAACGCGUAUCCAACCUGCCCAUCACUUGGGAAUAACCUUGCGAAAGUAAGACUAAUGCCCAAUGACAUCCCACGAAGGCAUCCGAAUGGGAUUAAAGAUUUAUCGGUGAUGGAUGGGGAUGCGUCUGAUUAGCUUGUUGGCGGGGUGACGGUCCACCAAGGCAACGAUCAGUAGGCGUUCCGAGGGGAGGGGACCGCCACAUGGGGACUGAGAUACGCCCAAGACUCCUACGGGAGGAAGGAGGGGGGAAUAUGGCACAAGGGGAGGAAGCUUAAUGCAGCGACGACGGGGGGGGAAGGACGCCCUUUGGGUUGUAAACUCCUUUCGAACGGGAGGAAGGCGCCUGGUUUGAAGUUUUGUGAAGGUAGUUGAAGAAGAAGCACCGGCUAAUUCCGUG
rnacentral:rRNA from 1 species